rnacentral:rRNA from 1 species
GAUGAACGCUGGCGGCGUGCCUAAUACAUGCAAGUCGAGCGAACAGACGAGGAGCUUGCUCCUCUGACGUUAGCGGCGGACGGGUGAGUAACACGUGGAUAACCUACCUAUAAGACUGGGAUAACUUCGGGAAACCGGAGCUAAUACCGGAUAAUAUAUUGAACCGCAUGGUUCAAUAGUGAAAGACGGUUUUGCUGUCACUUAUAGAUGGAUCCGCGCCGCAUUAGCUAGUUGGUAAGGUAACGGCUUACCAAGGCAACGAUGCGUAGCCGACCUGAGAGGGGGAUCGGCCACACUGGAACUGAGACACGGUCCAGACUCCUACGGGAGGCAGCAGUAGGGAAUCUUCCGCAAUGGUCGAAAGCUUGACGGAGCAACGCCGCGUGAGUGAUGAAGGUCUUCGGAUCGUAAAACUCUGUUAUUAGGGAAGAACAAAUGUGUAAGGAACUAUGCACGUCUUGACGGUACCUAAUCAGAAAGCCACGGCUAACUACGUG